rnacentral:rRNA from 1 species
AUUGAACGCUGGCGGCAGGCUUAACACAUGCAAGUCGAGCGAGCGGCGGACGGGUGAGUAAUGUCUGGGAAACUGCCUGAUGGAGGGGGAUAACUACUGGAAACGGUAGCUAAUACCGCAUACCAUCAGAUGUUCCCAGAUGGGAUUAGCUAGUGGGUGGGGUAAUGGCUCACCUAGGCGACGAUCCCUAGCUGGUCUGAGCGGAUGACAGGCCACACUGGAACUGAGACACGGUCCAUACUCCUACGGGAGGCAGCAGUGGGGAAUAUGGCACAAUGGGGGCAAGCCUGAUGCAGCCAUGCCGAGUGUGUGAAGAAGGCCUUCGGGUUGUAAAGAACUUUCAGCGGGGAGGCGUUACUCGCAGAAGAAGCACCGGCUAACUCCGUGCCAGCAGCCGCGGUAAUAC